rnacentral:rRNA from 1 species
UACGUAGGUGGCAAGCGUUGUCCGGAUUUAUUGGGCGUAAAGGGUGCGCAGGCGGCAAGAAAAGCUUAAGGUGAAAGCGUGGGGCUCAACCCCAUAAAGCCUUAGGAACUAGCUUGCUAGAGUGCAGGAGAGGGCGAUGGAAUUCCAUGUGUAGCGGUGAAAUGCGUAGAGAUAUGGAGGAACACCAGUGGCGAAGGCGGCUUCCUGGUCUGCAACUGACACUGAGGCGCGAAAGCGUGGGGAGCAAACAGG